UGCAGUGAGCCGAGAUCAUGCCUGGGUGACAGAGCGAGACUCCGUCUCGAAAACAGAAAAACAAGAAACCAAAAAGCCCUACCUCAGUACCUCAGUCACCAAGAGCCCCAAGCAGAGUUACCGGAAGAUAGCUGACAUGUAUUAAAUGUUUGUGGAAUAAGGAAUACAUGAAGAAGUCUAUCAUUCAAUCAAAGAAAACUAAGUAUCAUUGGAGGUCUUUCCAUUUUGGGGUCCAGUGGGUGUCCUUUGAGUCAAGAGCAUGAUCUUCAAUAGACUUGGGGCCAGAAAUGUGACAUGUGUCUGAAUCCAAUCAGAUCCAGUUAAGAUCCACAAAUGCUAGUCACUGGAAUCUGCAGCCCUUGAAUUAAUUCUGUCCUUAGAUUUGAUAAGCCAAUGUCAGAUUUAUUGUUGUUAUUUAUUAUUCUGUCCCUCCAGGAUGACAUUAGGAACAUACUGUCAAGAAAAGGAUGAUGCGUGUGCUGCAAAAUGCAGGACAAUUCACUUUCCAGGUGGGGUCUGGGGCCUGUGGCUUCUCUGUGAACUUUCUUUGUGUGCUGUGGAAUAUUUUCCAGCUGCAGCCUAUUGUCCUGUGAUUAGACUCUGGGGCUCCACAGAAUCUUGAUGACUAGCAUUUGGAGGAACACACCUUGGGAAAUGGUGAUUCUGUCCAAACUUUUUGUGUUAUGGCUGUGAGAAAUAGACUUACAGAAGGAGAUGUCCGCCCCACAUCUCUAAACUCAUGGGUGGAAACUCAGACUAAGACGGCACCUAGAAUGUGGUCCAGCACAUUGAGAAUAGAGCAGAAGAUGAAAGCUGGAGGGGCUGAGGGGCCUUGGAGGCAGAGUUGGGCUCAACUUCUCAUUCCCUGGGACGAACUGUGCACAGUAGCCUCUGCUCCUCCUUCUUCAGUGAAGACUGCGAUGCCUGUGUUGGGGCUCAGAAACCGAUACCCCAAAAUAUGAUGCUUUGUACAUGCUGAACUGAAACAGGAGCUUUAAGCUCUUUCAGGCCUCCCCACAUCUUACCGUCUCUCCCAAAGUGUAGGAUUCUCUGAAAGUCUUUGUCUGCCUAAAGUCCAGACCUACCAAUGAAGAAAACAAUCACCUCCUGCCCUUUGUCUGAGUUUUCAUGAGCUGAACCCAUAUUGCAGGAAGGAAGGCUAAGAUCUGUCAACACACCUGGGCAGACUUUUGUCACAAACCAUUGUCUGCUCUGAGGACCCAAAAGAGCUUGUCCCAGAUAAUUGCCUGUUCUUUAAGGCUAUUAAAUUCUCCCUGGUAACCAUUUACUGUCCUUCAACGGAAGUCCUCUUCUUCCCCCUCCCAUGACCUGUAUGACCAGCUCCCAUGCCCCCAUUCUUUCUGUAACCUCAAGAUGGUUUAUAAACUUCUGCGCCUCAUUGAGGGGUUGGGUCUUCAUUCUGAGGGCUCCCGUGUCACCUAAAGCUAUGGUCAGAUACAUUUGUAUGUGUUUUCUCCAAUUAAUCUGCCUUUCGUGAGUUGAUUUAUCGUGAAACUUCAGAGGAUGAAGGAGAAAUUUUCCCUUUGCACCUAUGCCUGCCACCCUCACAGGCUGUGUGAAGGUCCUUCUUCAAAAAAUACUGGCUAUUCUUGGCACUGACCUGGCCUCGGCUUUCAGGAAGAGAGGGGAGGCAGGCUCCCUUUCCCAAGACAUGCUGGCAGCCUGAGAGUCAAGGCCAUGGGGUGUUCACAGAUGAGGCCCCCUGAUAUUUACAUGUCUUAGGGAUCAGAAGUGGGCACAGCUGGGGCAGAGCGAGGAAGUGCUAACACCCACCAGGCAUCUGCGAGGGGACGCCCACAUCAAGAAAACCUCAGCACAAGGUUGAGUGUUUCAGCAAACCUCGGGGAGAUUGCACAUUUACUCAUGAAGAGACCACAUGGUGAGGUCAGCCCCAAAACCAGGCCAAUGUCUCUCAAGCCCAACUAGUUUUCAAGACAAUGUCUUGCAACUUAUAGAGUUUGGGGGGAAGGCAGUGUGAAGUUCAGGGGGGAAGGCAGUGUGAAGGUGAGCAUAUCAGUAGCUACCCACCAUGCUGGCUAAUCACUGGGAAAUUCUUUUAUAAACAGCCACAGUCUCUCUCAAGUUUUCCAAAAUUAGAACCUCUCCAAAUUUAUUUUUUUCAAGGCUUCAGAAAUAUCCCAUAAAUCUUUGAAAACGAAAAUUUCUUCUCUCUCCUCAGUCCUCACCCAGGGCUUCUGAUGCUGCCAGUCAAUCCCAAGUCAUGCUUGGUGUUUGGGGACCACGGCAGUGCAAAACCUCUGAGGGCCUGGGGAGAAGGAAUACCUGCAAGACUAAGAAUAAUGAAGGGAUAUAACAGAGGAUAGCCUCACUAUGCUCCUACUCCAGAAAAUUGGAUUAUUGUCUGCAAAGAUUCCUCAGUCUUGUGGACACUGAUGAAAUAUUGUAGACUGGAAUUGAAUCUGGCUUGUUGUCUGUUUGUUUAUUCCUGAGCCUGAUAAUUUAUUUGAACAACUUUGCCUUUCUAUAGUACAUGAUGAUCGGCAAGUUACUAUGACACGCAUUUGUACCCAUUGGACUCUGUGACCAUUCUGAAGAUAAGCUCUUGUCACCCUCCUCAUGGAAAAAAAUGGAGAUUCAUGAAAGUCAAAGGACUGGCCCAGGCUCUCACAGGCAAAGCUGGGAUUCCAACUUGUGUCUAAUGAGCCAGAAGCUCAGAGUCGUUUCCACUCUUUCUGCUCACUCUACACCAAACUCUGGGCUAUGUGUUGUGGAUUCAAAAAUUUUGGAGCCACUGUCUCUCCAAAUAGGCUGUGAAUUCUAGGAGGGGAAGAGCCAAUAAAAUUAAUUAUAGCACUAUAGAGGGAGAGGGAAGGCUUAUAUACCUUUCCCCAAGUCCACUUCAUUCCAAUUUCCUAUCUAUCUACACCAUCUGAGCAUCCUUCUUUCUCAUUCAUUCAGUCAUCAAUUUUUAGUCCAUCUUUUCAUUUAUUCAUAAAUUUGUACAUUUCUUCAGCAAUUAUAACAAUAAGCCAUUACUUAUGAGGUACUUACCACAGCCUGGUCACUGUGCUAGGUAGGCACCACUGCCCUAUAGGUGUUGUGAUGUCCAUCUGCUUGUAGCAGGUAAGCAGGAUUGAGGGCGUUUCUCUCAUUACACCAA
rnacentral:lncRNA from 1 species